rnacentral:rRNA from 1 species
AUUGAACGCUGGCGGCAUGCCUUACACAUGCAAGUCGAACGGCAGCGGACCUUCGGGUGCCGGCGAGUGGCGAACGGGUGAGUAAUAUAUCGGAACGUACCUUUCAGUGGGGGAUAACGUAGCGAAAGUUACGCUAAUACCGCAUAUUCUGUGAGCAGGAAAGCAGGGGAUCGCAAGACCUUGCGCUGAUUGAGCGGCCGAUAUCAGAUUAGCUAGUUGGUGAGGUAAAGGCUCACCAAGGCGACGAUCUGUAGCGGGUCUGAGAGGAUGAUCCGCCACACUGGAACUGAGACACGGUCCAGACUCCUACGGGAGGCAGCAGUGGGGAAUUUUGGACAAUGGGCGCAAGCCUGAUCCAGCCAUGCCGCGUGAGUGAAGAAGGGCCUCGGUUG